UCAUCUUUCUUGCUGCCCUUGAAGAGUGGUGUCCAGUGAAUCUUUCAAAGAAUGAUACUGAGCUUCAUUGUUGAUGAACAAAAAUGCAAAUCUCACCCAGAGCAUGCAGGAACAUGCUAUAAUCACUACACUCCUAGAAUGUGAUCUCUUUCAAUAUUGACUGCAUCCAUGCCUUCCACACACUUGCACCAGUUGGGAGGAUGGAGAUGUCAUCUGGGCAGAGGGAGAAGAGCAGUACCAUUCAGAGGUCUGUCCCUCUUAAGAUAUAUUCUCUCUGUCAACCUAGAACUCAAAGGGCUGUGUGAAAAGUUUACUGUGGAAAAAGAAAUUGAAAAAACUGCCACUAAGUAGCAAUGGAAGGACUUUUCCCGCUAAGAUGAGGAACUGCUCAGAUCACCAGCUGCUUCAGGUUACCAGCCCACACCUGUCUGUCUCACCUCUGACAACCUUGGAUGAAGAUAGCCCGAAAACUUGCCUGGAAGUUUAACAACAACAGAGGAGAGCUCCUUUAUCAUCAAAAGCCAAGAAAGCAA
rnacentral:lncRNA from 1 species